AAUCAACGCUGGCGGCGUGCCUCAGACAUGCAAGUCGAACGAUUAAAGCUCUCUUCGGAGAGUGUAUAGAGUGGCGCACGGGUGAGUAACACGUAAGUAAUCUACCUUCGAGUGGGAAUAACGUCCGGAACGGACGCUAAUACCGCAUAAUGCAGCGGCAUCGCAAGAUGACAGUUGUUAAAGAUUAUCGCUUGAAGAGGAGCUUGCGGCAGAUUAGCUAGUUGGUAAGGUAACGGCUUACCAAGGCUACGAUCUGUAUCCGGUCUAAGAGGACGGUCGGACACACUGACACUGAAUAACGGGUCAGACUCCUAC
rnacentral:rRNA from 1 species